rnacentral:rRNA from 1 species
AUUGAACGCUGGCGGCAGGCCUAACACAUGCAAGUCGAGCGGAUGAAGGGAGCUUGCUCCUGGAUUCAGCGGCGGACGGUUGGGUAAUCCUUAGGAUCCUCCCUGGUGUUGGGGAUUAAGUUCCGGAAAGGGCCCCUAAUCCCCCUUCGGUCCUGGGGGAGAAGGUGGGGGUUCUUCGGCCCCCCCGUUUUCAGUUGACCCUAGGUCGGAUUAGCUAGUUGGUGGGGUAAAGGCCUACCAAGGCGACGAUCCGUAACUGGUCUGAGAGGAUGAUCAGUCACACUGGAACUGAGACACGGUCCAGACUCCUACGGGAGGCAGCAGUGGGGAAUAUUGGACAAUGGGCGAAAGCCUGAUCCAGCCAUGCCGCGUGUGUGAAGAAGGUCUUCGGAUUGUAAAGCACUUUAAGUUGGGAGGAAGGGCAGUAAGUUAAUACCUUGCUGUUUUGACGUUACCAACAGAAUAAGCACCGGCUAACUUCGUG